rnacentral:rRNA from 1 species
CAAUACAUGCAGUCGAGCGACCGACGGGAGCUUGCUCCCUUAGGUUAGCGGCGGACGGGUGAGUAACACGUGGGUAACCUGCCUGUAAGACUGGGAUAACUCCGGGAAACCGGGGCUAAUACCGGAUGCUUGAUUGAACCGCAUGGUUCAAUUAUAAAAGGUGGCUUUUAGCUACCACUUACAGAUGGACCCGCGGCGCAUUAGCUAGUUGGUGAGGUAACGGCUCACCAAGGCGACGAUGCGUAGCCGACCUGAGAGGGUGAUCGGCCACACUGGGACUGAGACACGGCCCAGACUCCUACGGGAGGCAGCAGUAGGGAAUCUUCCGCAAUGGACGAAAGUCUGACGGAGCAACGCCGCGUGAGUGAUGAAGGUUUUCGGAUCGUAAAACUCUGUUGUUAGGGAAGAACAAGUACCGUUCGAACAGGGCGGUGCCUUGACGGUACCUAACCAGAAAGCCACGGCUAACUACGUGCCAGCAGCCGCGGUAAUACGUAGGUGGCAAGCGUUGUCCGGAAUUAUUGGGCGUAAAGCGCGCGCAGGCGGUUUCUUAAGUCUGAUGUGAAAGCCCCCGGCUCAACCGGGGAGGGUCAUUGGAAACUGGGGAACUUGAGUGCAGAAGAGGAGAGUGGAAUUCCACGUGUAGCGGUGAAAUGCGUAGAGAUGUGGAGGAACACCAGUGGCGAAGGCGACUCUCUGGUCUGUAACUGACGCUGAGGCGCGAAAGCGUGGGGAGCGAACAGGAUUAGAUACCCUGGUAGUCCACGCCGUAAACGAUGAGUGCUAAGUGUUAGAGGGUUUCCGCCCUUUAGUGCUGCAGCAAACGCAUUAAGCACUCCGCCUGGGGAGUACGGUCGCAAGACUGAAACUCAAAGGAAUUGACGGGGGCCCGCACAAGCGGUGGAGCAUGUGGUUUAAUUCGAAGCAACGCGAAGAACCUUACCAGGUCUUGACAUCCUCUGACACCCCUAGAGAUAGGGCUUCCCCUUCGGGGGCAGAGUGACAGGUGGGUGCAGGGUUGUCGCCAGCUCCGUGCCCGGAAAAUGUUGGGGUAAAGUUCCGGGAUAAAAGGGUAACCCAUUGAAAUUUAAGUGGGCAAGAA